rnacentral:rRNA from 1 species
GACGAACGCUGGCGGCGUGCUUAACACAUGCAAGUCGAACGGAAAGGCCCUGCUUUUGUGGGGUGCUCGAGUGGCGAACGGGUGAGUAACACGUGAGUAACCUGCCCUUGACUUUGGGAUAACUUCAGGAAACUGGGGCUAAUACCGGAUAGGAGCUCCUGCUGCAUGGUGGGGUUGGAAAGUUUCGGCGGUUGGGGAUGGACUCGCGGCUUAUCAGCUUGUUGGUGGGGUAGUGGCUUACCAAGGCUUUGACGGGUAGCCGGCCUGAGAGGGUGACCGGCCACAUUGGGACUGAGAUACGGCCCAGACUCCUACGGGAGGCAGCAGUGGGGAAUAUUGCACAAUGGGCGGAAGCCUGAUGCAGCAACGCCGCGUGCGGGAUGACGGCCUUCGGGUUGUAAACCGCUUUCGCCUGUGACGAAGCGUGAGUGACGGUAAUGGGGAAAGAAGCACCGGCUAACUACGU